UGGGGUAUAGGUUAGUAAUAAAGUACGUGCUUAGCAUAAGCAAGGCCCUGGGUUCGAUUCCCAGUUUUUUAA
rnacentral:tRNA from 1 species